UGGCGAACGGGUGAGUAACAUAUCGGAACGUACCGGGUANCGGGGGAUAACUGAUCGAAAGAUCAGCUAAUACCGCAUACGUCUUGAGAGGGAAAGCAGGGGACCUUCGGGCCUUGCGCUAUCCGAGCGGCCGAUAUCUGAUUAGCUGGUUGGCGGGGUAAAGGCCCACCAAGGCGACGAUCAGUAGCGGGUCUGAGAGGAUGAUCCGCCACACUGGGACUGAGACACGGCCCAGACUCCUACGGGAGGCAGCAGAC
rnacentral:rRNA from 1 species